UAGGGAAUAUUGCUUAAUGGGCGAAAGCCUGAAGCAGCAACGCCGCGUGGACGAAGAAGGCCUUCGGGUUGUAAAGUUCUUUUAUAUGGGAUGAGGAAGGACAGUACCAUAUGAAUAAGUCUCGGCUAACUACGUUCCAGCAGCCGCGGUAACACGUAGGAGACGAGCGUUAUCCGGCUUUACUGGGCGUAAAGAGCGUGUAGGAGGCAAUACAAGUUGGAUGUAAAAGCUUUCGGCUAAACUGAGAGAGGACGUUCAAGACUGUAGAGCGAGAGGAAGGCAGAGGUAGAUGGAACUCCGGGAGUAGUGGUGAAAGGCGUAGAUAUCCGGAAGAACACCAGAGGCGAAAGCGAUCUACUGGGCCUUAACAGACACUGAGACGCGAAAGCCAGGGUAGCAAACG
rnacentral:rRNA from 1 species